rnacentral:rRNA from 1 species
UCGGGAAUUUUGGGCAAUGGGCGAAAGCCUGACCCAGCAACGCCGCGUGAAGGAUGAAGUAUUUCGGUAUGUAAACUUCGAAAGAAUAGGAAGAAUAAAUGACGGUACUAUUUAUAAGGUCCGGCUAACUACGUGCCAGCAGCCGCGGUAAUACGUAGGGACCAAGCGUUGUUCGGAUUUACUGGGCGUAAAGGGCGCGUAGGCGGCAAUUCAAGUCAUCUGUGAAAUCUCCGGGCUUAACUCGGAACGGUCAGAUGAUACUGCUUUGCUAGAGUGCGGAAGGGGCAAUCGGAAUUCUUGGUGUAGCGGUGAAAUGCGUAGAUAUCAAGAGGAACACCUGAGGUGAAGACGGGUUGCUGGGCUGACACUGACGCUGAGGCGCGAAAGCCAGGGGAGCAAACGGGAUUAGAUACCCAAGUAGUCCCUGAGCGGGCUGGCAAGGCGCAU